CAAGUUCACUAAAUCAGUGGAUAUGAGUGGAAACCCUCCCUGGGCCAUGAAUCACGCAGAGGCCCUGGCGUGAGACGCCCGCCACCCACCACUCCUCUGCUGCUCCCAGGCCUCCUUUUUCGAAUACGGAUCAAAUCUGUUAAUGCCUGACAUUGGCUGUAAACCAGCUGUCCAUCAGCGGCCACAGGGCAGAUUUGUUAUGACUGAAGGGAUUCUGGGACCGUCUCUGGGAAAAGCACACGGGGCUCGAAAAGUUAGCAAACGCUCGCAGAGCAGUUCAUUUGUCACGGAGGCCAUUUUAUAUGUUUCUCAAAAUGCACCACAGAGGAUGGCCAACACCCGUUUCUAUCUUUAGAUGGGGGAAUCCACCCAAAGCUGUCACUCAUGUGGUCAAAUCUCUAAGAAAGAAAGGUGCACCUUUCGUGCCAGCUGCUCUCGUGUGCCAACAUCAGGGUAUUUGGUUUCUUGGAAAAGGUUCUCCAGUGCCUCCAGUUGCUCGUCGGUGAAAAUGGUUCGGUGUCGUCUCUUGCGCCGGCAGU